rnacentral:lncRNA from 1 species
AUGAAUGGGUCAGCUCCCUGGGCUCAGUGCCUUCCCGGCAGAGGCGUGAUUACCGCUGAAGAACGGAGCCUGGGUCCGGGAGCAGAUGUGGCUUCUGACAGAAGCGGCCAGGUGUGCGGCCUUGCACACCCACUCUUGCGUCAGCUCACCCCCAGCUUAUCUGGAAGGCAGCAGAGGGCUACUCAGGGCUUAAGGAAGCUACAGCAGGCACGUGUGGAACUGACCUUAGCUGCUAGAAGCAGGCUCUCGGGAAGGAAAACCAGGGCCGGAUGCCUCUCACCUCUCUAUCUGCAUCUGUCUGGUGUAAACGGCUCUCUCUCCCUCCCUAUCCUUCUUGCUCUCUCCUGUGCGCCCCAGUGCAAUCAAUAUUCUGCUCCAUCGCAGCUUCGGGACCUGACAGGCUGUGUUUGCCAUUCCUGUGCUGACUCAUCCAUGGAGCCCAUCACGGGCCAAGUGCUCCCUCUGGCCAGAAAUGCUCCUCAGUCAGAUCUCCAACUCUGGCUUAUCUUUGCUCCAAUCGGUUUCCUUUUUCCUUUUCCCCAGAAUGUCAUUUCGGUUUCCUGUGCCCUGCCAGCCUGGGAGUCCCAGAGAGGCAUCAACACAGGCUCGGGGGGCUGCAGGACACUGAUGGAAGUUGGGCGCGGGAGAGCGUUGUCCCUCAAUGUCAGCUGUCAGGUGAUAGAGAUUUCCAGCUGGCGGAACCUCAGAGAUGACUGCUUUCAACGUUCCCCAGCCACAGAGGUGGAGCCAGAGGGAUGCCAAGACGGGCUACGUCUCCAAGGCUACACGUAGCCGACUGGCUGCUCUUGUCUCCUCACAUGGACUGGAACAUUCCCACCAUGAGACCCUUGCUCACAAUAAUAGGUACUAUAUAUAUAUAUAUAUAUAUAUAUACUAUGUAUAUAUAACAUACUAACACAUAAUAA